rnacentral:rRNA from 1 species
AGAUUGAACGCUGGCGGCAUGCCUUACACAUGCAAGUCGAGCGGCAGCGCGGGGCAACCUGGCGGCGAGUGGCGAACGGGUGAGUAAUAUAUCGGAACGUACCCUGGAGUGGGGGAUAACGUAGCGAAAGUUACGCUAAUACCGCAUACGAUCUAAGGAUGAAAGUGGGGGAUUCGCAAGAACCUCAUGCUCCUGGAGCGGCCGAUAUCUGAUUAGCUAGUUGGUAGGGUAAAGGCCUACCAAGGCAUCGAUCAGUAGCUGGUCUGAGAGGACGACCAGCCACACUGGAACUGAGACACGGUCCAGACCUCCGUACGGGAGCAGCAGGUAGGGUAAUUUUGGACAAGUGGGACGAAAGCCGUGACUCCGAGACAAGUCGCCGCGUGAGUGAAGAACGGUCGUUCGGUUAGUAAACGUCGUUCGUUUGUACGAAGGAAGGUAAACGGUAGAGG